UAUCCAGUUGUUACCUAUGGACGAGCUGUUUCCUCUUUUAGUCGAUUCGCUCGAUCUCGCCGGCGAUUCACAGCACCGGGGGAGAGAUUCGUCGGCGCCGGCUGUUUCCUCUCCCCGGAGUCCGCUUCCUCAUGCCGGCGGCUGCUUCCUCGUGCCGGCUGCUACAUCGUGGCAGAGGUUGCUUCCUCGCGGCGGCGUCCGCAGCUACCUCGUGCCGGCGGCGGCCGGGUCCUCGUGGCGGCUUCAGCGGCUACCUCACCGCGGCAGCGGCCGGUUUCCAGCUACCUUCUCGCAUCGACAGCUAAUUCCCCGCGUUGUCCGGCUACAUCCCCACGCCUCCUGCUAAAUCAGCCGCGUCUCCGGCUGCAUCCACGGUAAGAGUUUGGAGUAUAAGAUCAAGAUAGUUGAGGUCGAUCUGGCAGACUGGCCGGUUUGGUACAAGGAGAAGGUUUACUCGAGGAACAAGGUGCCUUCUCUGGAGCAUAACAAACAGGAGAAAGAGAGCUUGGAUUUGGUCAAGUACAUUGACAACAAUUUCAAAGGCCCAAGCCAAUGUAGUAACAAAACGGGGGCGGCGCAUGGUUUGCCCAAAAAAGAGAAAGGAAAGAAGCAUCUGGAGUGACCAAAAUCACGAGACUGGGUGGUCGAGGCCCCGGCGACCGACGUCUCCCUCAGUUCCUCGGUUUGCCGACGUGCUCGUGGUGGAAGCCGAAGUCCACGGAGCAGCGCCGCCAGCCUGAUCAAACUAAUCGACGACGCCGGCGCUCGUACACCGCUCGGAGUCUAGAACCACCUCCUUCACCAUGGAUAUCCACUAGCAGACGGUUGUUGUCAGACAGCGCGGCGGCGGAGAAGUGUCCAUCGGCAUCGUGGUGACCUGGUGGUGCUACAUGACCUGGAGAGAUGGCUGCCGGGAUGACUUGUCAUAGGACCUGGAGAGAUGGCUGUCGGGAUGACUUGUUGCUGGUGCGUUGACUGAUGGUGAUGCAAUUUCAGACUUCACCGGUAGCUCAUAGCAAAAUAGUAGGGCCUAGCGACGAGCAGUUACUUUUUCUGUUUGCAGAAUGAAGUCAAUGAUAGAAAACUAGAUCUAGUUAAAUUUAGUGCGGCUCAGUUCACAUGGAUGUAGUUAAAUUUAGUGCGGUGCAGUUCAUUUGAUCUCUUUUCUGUUCGCAGAAUGUAAGUCGAUGAUAGAUAAAUGGAUGUAGUUAAAUUUAGUGCGGCGCAGUUCCCAUGAGAUGUUGGUUGAAUUUUCACCAUGAUGUAACUGAUCGGGCUGUUAGUGCAAUUUUUAUCGCAACAUAACUCA